GAUGAAGAACGUAGCGAAAUGCGAUACUUGGUGUGAAUUGCAGAAUCCCGUGAACCAUCGAGUCUUUGAACGCAAGUUGCGCCAGAAGCCAUUAGGCCGAGGGCACGCCUGCCUGGGCGUCACACGUCGUUGCCCCCCCAUCUACUCCUUCGGGAUUGCGGGGGGCGGAUGAUGGCCUCCCGUGCGCCUCGUCGCGCGGUUGGCAUAAAUGCCAAGUCCUCGGCGACGCACGCCACGACAAUCGGUGGUUGCGAAACCUCGGUUGCCCGUCGUGUGCGGUCGUCGCGCAUCGAGGGCUCGAAAAAAUUGCCGGGCUCCGGCUCGGCUUUCAACGCGACCCCAGGUCAGGCGGGGUUACCCGCUGAAUUUAAGCAUAUCAAUAAGCGGAGGA
rnacentral:misc_RNA from 1 species